ACGUACACUCCUACGGGAGGCAGCAGUGGGGAAUAUUGGACAAUGGGCGCAAGCCUGAUCCAGCCAUGCCGCGUGAGUGAUGAAGGCCCUAGGGUUGUAAAGCUCUUUCACCGGUGAAGAUAAUGACGGUAACCGGAGAAGAAGCCCCGGCUAACUUCGUGCCAGCAGCCGCGGUAAUACGAAGGGGGCUAGCGUUGUUCGGAUUUACUGGGCGUAAAGCGCACGUAGGCGGACUAUUAAGUCAGGGGUGAAAUCCCGGGGCUCAACCCCGGAACUGCCUUUGAUACUGGUAGUCUUGAGUUCGAGAGAGGUGGGUGGAAUUCCGAGUGUAGAGGUGAAAUUCGUAGAUAUUCGGAGGAACACCAGUGGCGAAGGCGGCUCACUGGCGCGAUACUGACGCUGAGGUGCGAAAGCGUGGGGAGCAAACAGGAUUAGAAACCCGAGUAGUCCCAU
rnacentral:rRNA from 1 species